UACGUAGGGGGCAAGCGUUGUUCGGAAUUACUGGGCGUAAAGGGCUCGUAGGUGGCCAACUAAGUCAGACGUGAAAUCCCUCGGCUUAACCGGGGAACUGCGUCUGAUACUGGAUGGCUUGAGUUUGGGAGAGGGAUGCGGAAUUCCAGGUGUAGCGGUGAAAUGCGUAGAUAUCUGGAGGAACACCGGUGGCGAAGGCGGCAUCCUGGACCAUACUGACACUGAGGAGCGAAAGCCAGGGGAGCAAACGGG
rnacentral:rRNA from 1 species